AAAGAGAAGGAACCAAUUUAAAGUACAAUACAAAACCAACUAAAAGGUAAGACUGUUGUUCAAUGCACUUGUAAUUAAUUAAUCACUGCAAUUGAUCAUUAACUUCUGUUCUGAGCUUCUUCACCAACUGAGGCUUAGAAGAAAGUUAACAACUCUGAUGAGGCAAACACUGUGGGCCCAGAGCUCCGGGAAGCCGUUCACGAGAAGGAUAGCCAAGUCAUGCAAUCUCUCUGGGCCUCUGUCUCCUUCUCUCAGUGAAAGGACAGCUUGUAUUCUGUGAACACCGUGGUCUCCACCACAGCUACCAUUCUGUGAUUCAGUAGGGCCCAGAAAAGCAAGCCAGUUCCCCAGGGUUUAUCAACUCAUUCUGCCUCCUCACAUUCCUGUAUACCUAUGGGAGGUUUUAGGGGCCAGGCUGGGAAGUGGAAAGUCUGUUUCCUCCCGUAUACUAUUGCCCAGAAUUCAGUAAUAUUCUCCUCUCAUCUGCAAGGAAGUCUGGGAAGUCGAGUUCAGCCGUGGACCCCAGAAGAGAGAAAAAGUUUGUUGGUCCUGGACUCGAAAGAAAACUGACAAGAAAAGAAAGAUGUACGGCUAAUGUUGAGGCACCACAGCUUCCUAAUGAUUACCACAAGAAGAAAUUAUGCCCGUGUUCUUGGACCUCCCAUCUUUAGACUCAGCUAUUUCCACCAGAAGAAGUAUAUGGCAUUGUCUACUUAUGUGAAGAAAGCAGCCAAGGGAAAAGCGAAAAGCUUGCUGACCACGAAGUAUUUUAAAGGAGGAAAGAAAGGGUAGUGGGUAAAGAAGGAACAGAAGCUGUCCAAGAGACCAGACAACAAAGUGUAUUUAUAUUUUAGAAAUGAUGCUAUUGCAGAUA
rnacentral:lncRNA from 1 species